GAGAGCUCAGGAUGGAGCUCAAGAGAUGGGCUGAAAGUAGAGAAGAAUAGAAGGGAUGACGGGUUAUGCCGAGAGUAUAGUGGCGAUAAGUUAUUCCAAGGGCAAGUGUUUAGAUUUUAAUUGAUUAAUUUAUGGGCAUAUGAGGAACCCUAGAUCGAAGGAUGAAGCUUCCAGAUCGAAAAAGCGGCUUCAUGUUGAAGAGCGGAACUCCAGGGCAAACCCGAAGAGGAGCGUCACUCCUUCGAAGGUUGAGGUGUUGAAGUCGGAAAUUGCUCAUUGUCCCCGGAUUCCUGCUACGGUUGAAGUCGCAUUUUUCUGGUUUGCUCAUUGUCCCCGGAUUCCUCUGCCACUCCACAGCCGGAAAUUGCUUGUCUUUGAAAAUGGAAGGAAGUUCUGCUUCUGUUAAUUCCCAAGUGAUCAAGAGUGGCAAAAGGAAAUGGACUGUCAAUGCGAAUACCCCCACAUUAGGAGACGUUUCUCGUGCUCAUCUAUCACCUAGAGAGGAAUCAGAAAGUGCUUCUUUGGGAAGAAAGAAGAAAAAGAUUGAAAGUGACUUCUCAGCAAUUUUUGAGGCCGUGAAUACUAUGACAGUUGACAUAAAAGAGGCUUGCCUAAUACUCUCAAAGAGUAUUCACUCUGACAUCGUUCAAGAGAAGUUCCUUGAACUUCCGGGAGCUCUUCGUAGUGUUGAUGGCAUUACUUCAGCAGAAGCGCGCAUGGCUAUUCAAAAGUUCGGAAACCAUCCGAAUAAAGUCCUAUUAUUUUUUGGUACAGAUCCUAAUUACCGCUUGGAAAUGGUUCAUGAUUUCCUUGCAAAUCAGUAAAGGAAGACUACAAGUUCAACUUCUUCGUGGAGUUUUUUUGGGCUCUUGUUGUUAAGUUCGAAGUUAGCUUUGCUGCGCAAGAGAAACAUUUCUAUUUUGGAGAUCAGCAUGGAGGACUCGUAACCAACAAUUUAUCUCUUAGAGGAUCUCUCCAAUCUCAACAGGAACCUUGGAAAGGUCAUCUACAUCAGUGGCCAUGCUUUGGAGUCAUAUCUUCAGCCGGAAAAAAUGUGUCCAGAUUAAGCCAUGGAAGCUUGAGGCAGAUGAUACAGCACUUUUGGAUCUCUUUGAGAAAAAAUUAAUGAUAUGAUAGUGUGAUUAUGUGCUUAUGAAAUUGGUUUCUUGUUAUAUUUAUAAUUGAUCGGGAUGGCGGAGACCAAAGCCAUGCAUUCCAAAGGUUAGAACCCAGUGAAAUAUUUUGAAAAAUUAUGUGAGUACUCUAUUCUCUUGUGAAAUGACGUAUUAUAGUUAUAUAAAUCAUUUAAGAAGAAUAUUGUGAUAGGUAGAGAUUAAAAAUUAAUGUUGCUAUGUUGUGUGAAAGGAUUUGAGAAAUAUUGCCCUUAUGUUUCAUUUUGACUUGAAAUAUGUGAUGUGAUUGUAUAUGUUGAUUGUGGAUGAGAUAUGUGAUGAUAAUAUAAUAUCAUUGUAAUGUGAUUA